CUGUGAGAGGACAGAAAGCAAAGGGCCCUUGGGUGGAAGGUUGGAUCUUCGCAUGAUUCAAGUUGCCAGAUCUAACUCUUCCAUAUGACGGUCAUUUGCCAACACGCCCGAAUUUCGGC
rnacentral:precursor_RNA from 15 species